rnacentral:rRNA from 1 species
AAUUUUGGAAAAUGGGGGAAACCCUGAUCCAGCAAUACCGCGUGUAUGAUGAAGGCCUUCGGGUUAUAAAGUACUUUUUGCAGAGAAGAAAAGGUAUCUCCUAAUACGAGAUACUGCUGAAGGCAUCAUCUGUAUAUGCAACGGCUAACUAAGUGCUAGCAGCGGCGGUAAUACGUAUGGUGCAAGCGUUAAUCGGAAUUACUGGGCGUAAAGCGUGUGUAGGCGGUUCGGAAAGAAAGAUGUGAAAUCCCAGGGCUCAACCUUGGAACAGCAUUUUUAACUGCCGAGCUAGAGUAUGUCAGAGGGGGGUAGAAUUCCACGUGUAGCAGUGAAAUGCGUAGAUAUGUGGAGGAAUACCGAUGGCGAAGGCAGCCCCCUGGGAUAAUACUGACGCUCAGACACGAAAGCGUGGGGAGCAGACA